CAGGUUUUCUUCAUGUUGAUCAGACUGGUCCCAAACUCCCAACCUCAGGUUAUCUGCCUGCCUCGGCCUGCCAAAGUGCUGGGAUUGCAGGUGUGAGCCACCGUGCCCGGCCAGGCCAGUUCAUUUCAAUGCAGUGAGUUGGCCACUUCAGUUUUCAUGGAAGAGCUAGCUGAGCCUUGCAACCUUGAGAAAGUCAGUUCGCUUCUCUGAACGUCAGUUUCCUCACAUGUAAAAUGAGGAUGAUCCCUUCUCCAUGUACCUAAUGUGAGGAUGAAAUGAGAAAGCACAGGGAUUCCAGGUAGGCAGAAGGGAGGAAAGGGCAAUGGGCUAUAUCCCGGAAAGGUUAUGCCUUUUUGAUUUUCAGAAGGGACAUCUACCCUGGGGACUUAUCUGGACCUUGGCCUGAGCUAUGUCGCAUGCCCAUCCUUUGCUGCAAAGACAGCUGGGAAAUGGAGACUAUUUUAGCUGCACACAGUGCCCCCUUGAUAAGAAUCAGGGUUUUUUGUUUGUUUGUUUUAUUUUUAAGAGACAGGGUCUUGCUCUGUUGCCCAGGCUGGAGUGCAGUGGCAUGAUCACAGCUCACUGCAGCCUCGAACUCCUGGGUUCAGGUGAUCCUCCUGCGUCAGCCUCAUGCGUAAUUGGGAUUACAGACUACAGGUACACACCACAAUGCCUGGCUAGUUUUUUUUUUUUUUUGUAAAUGAUUUGUAAAGAUGGAGUCUGGCUAUGUUGGCCAGGCUGGCCUUGAACUCAUGGUCUCUAGCAAUCCUUCCACCUUGGCCUCCUAAGGUUCUGGGAUUACAGGUGUGAGCCACUGCACCUGGCAUAAAACUCAGGGUUCUGACAGUAGGAAAGAAAAAGAUGGAUAAGGCAUUGGGUACAUCACCACAGGGGGCUGCCACAGCUAGGAACAAGUCUCCCCAGACUAACCUUGCCUCUUCUUGGGUAGGCUUGGUCAGGGAGGUGGCAGGAAAGCUCUGAGUGUCCGGGUUUCAUUUCAGCAAGACCAGAGGGCAAAUGCAGGCUUCGGUGAUGUGAGCGGGCUUGGUGGAGCAGUUAUCCCCAGGGAGUAGCAGACGUGGUCCUGUCCAUCUGGAGGAAGCUCUCUAUCUGCCAUCUGCCAUGGCCAACAUUUCUAUGUCAGAAUCUACAAAACCAGUGGAGACAGAGAUAGACCUAUCAAAAAGGUAUGGUGGCACGGCCCUAUAGUCCCAGCUACUUGGGAGGCUGAGGCGGGAGGAUCACUUGAGCCCAAGAAUUUGAGACCAGCCUGGGAAACAUAGUGAGACCUUGUCUCAAAAAGAAAAAAGAAAAAAAAGUGUCAAUUUUAAAACAGUUGCUCAAAAAUAAAUGUCAUUAAAGUCAUACCAAAAAAAAUGUAAAACAUGUACACAACCUCAUCCCAGAAAGUCUGUCACUGGGCUUAAAAGAGGACAGUCAGCGGGUACAGUGGCUCACACCUGUAAUCAAGCACUUUGGGAGGCUGAGGUGGGCAGAUUACCUGAGGUCAGGAUUUUGAGACUAGCCUGCCCAACAUGG
rnacentral:lncRNA from 1 species